rnacentral:tRNA from 1 species
GGCUCAAUUGGUAGAGUGCUUGCCUUGCAUGCACAAGGGCCUGGGUUCAAUUCCCAG